CAGAGGGCUCUGAACCCCGGAGAACUGGGAUAAAAUGGUCCUGACCUGUCUGAAGAAGGUGCUUGGGAGCAAAUCUCUCACUUGGAAGAGCAGCAAGUGCUGUUAACCGCUGAGCCAUCUCUCCAGCCCCUUGUCCCUCCUGAUGUUCUUUACUUUGGGACGAGGGGAGAAGAACUGGGGAUUUGAAACCCUCCGUCGGGGCUUAAGCUGCGUGCUGAUAUCUUCAGUUGUAGCACAGAUGAAGCAACACCACCAUCUCCCUGGCAUGUGGCAUGUGGAAGUGGCUUUCAGGCUAGUCACUGCACAGACUGGUGAGGCCUCUCUCAUGCUCCCUGCUCUGUGCAGCUGAUGCUCCGGUCUCAAGAUCCCAGCUGAGCAUCAAUUUGAAGCUGAAAGUUAGUUCAGACCUUAAAGAGGAACAAGUCAGAGAGAAGAUACAUGUCCUUUCUGUCUGUCAUGAGAGAGCCCAGUAAACAAAAUAAUAAACAAGAAGAGCCCCUCCUCCACUCUUCAGACAACAGCUUUGACACCAGAACAGACAAGGUGUCUUCCUGUAAUCCCUGAUGUCCUGGAGCUGACUGUGUAGACCAAGAUGACCUCAAACUCACAAAGAUCCUCAGCCUAGGCCUCCUGAGUACUAGGACUAAAUGAGGGUACCCCCAUGCCUGUAUCUACUUCCCUAUUAUGAUCUUUCUAGUUUUACCUGCUCACUAUCAUGCAUUUCCAGUUGUUAAUUUAUGCAUUUUCAGUAAAUUAUAUAGUAAAAAGAGAGAGGUUCCAAAUAAUGCCAAAAUACUGUAACUCUGAGACCAUUUUUUCCCCUCACCUGUAUCUACUUUGCUAAGAUUAUGAUCAUUCUUUGUGCUAUGAGUCAACAUUAUGAUCUGUAUAUUAUAUAUUGCUUGGGGGACUUUCCUUUAGCAUUUCUCAGAGAGCAGUUCUCCUGGUGGUGUCUUCCUCUGUUAAUUAUGUGUAAAUGGUUUCAUUUUCUUCAUCAUUAAAGGAUGCUUUGGCCAAGUAUAGCAUUCUUAACUGACAUGUCUACAAAGCUAUAGUUUGGAAGGGUCCUGGAAGGUCUGUGUUAAACCUUCCUUGCCAGCCUGUGCCUCUGCUGGAAGCGGUAGAACCUUUAAGCUGUGGGGUCAUGCUGAGAGAAGUUGGCUCUUUGGGAGAAUGUCCUUGAAGAGGCUAAUGAAGCCUUGAAAGUGGAGCAUCCCCCCAACCUUUGGGUUUUGGCUGCCAUGAAGUGACCAAGAACCCUUCAUUAUGCACUUCUACCAUGAUGCAUCACCCCCAAAGCAACAAGACUAAGCCCUUGGAAGCCAGCAGAAAAAGAAACUUUACCCCCUAAGUUGAUUCUCACAGACAUUUUGUGUGAGCAUGGUAAAACACAUCUGCAAUCCCAGCAUUUGGGAGGCUGACGUGGGAACAAUGCUAUAAAUUCGAGGUGAGUGGGCUACAGUGUGAGACCUUGUCCCAAACAAACACAGCUACAGAAGUUAGGUUUUGUCCUUCCUCUCCUCUAGACAGGUCCUCCCACUGUCUCUAGUCUCUUCAAUUUGUCAGGAGAAAUCAGAUAAUCUUAUUAAAGAUCCCAUUAGCUCCGUUCCUAUACUCCUCCUGUCUGAGUUACUGGUUGCUUCCUUUUCAUAUUCUUAACUCCUUGUCGGCACUCUCAUUUUGUUUAUAUAUUACUUUCUCAGCCCCCUUCCUCUCUUCAUAUAGCUUUCUUUUUUAUUGUACAUAUGUAGGAUAGAUGACUCAGUAUCCUUAAAUAAUAAUUCUAAUAUCUGAGUCUCAUGGGAAAUACCGCUAGAAAAUAUUUUAUUUUUCUUGAUAGGACCAGGGACUGUCUCUGACAUGAACUCCUGGGCUGGCUCUUUGAUCACCUCCACCUGAGGGGGGAACAGCCUUACCAGUCCACAGAGGAAGACAAAGAAGCCAGUCCUGAUGAAGCCUGAUAGACUAGGGUCAGAUGGAAGGGGAGGAGGACCUCCCCUAUCAUUGGACUGGUCAUCGGAGAAGAGGGUGGGGUUGGGAGGGGAUUAGGGAAGGAGCUACAGCUGGGAUACAAAGUGAAUAAACUGUAAUUAAUAAAAAUUAAAAAUUUUAAAACAUAUUUUAUUUUUCAAAUGAGCCAUUCUUUGGACAUAUUUUGAAAUGCGUAGUUGAGGACCAAGUGUGACAGAAAUUGUGUUGGGGUUACUCUGAUAAUUUAAUUCUGUAGCUCUCCAGGGAUUGUGUUAAGUCUUGCUUUUGAAGGGGUGCAACUGUCUGUAACUUUCCAAAUUAUUUUUGUACAGUUCACAUCAUCUGCUUUUACUUGGCCCUUAAAUUUUCUUGUCUUUUGUCUCCGCAGUUAGCCAACUAUCUGACAAAGACUUCUUGGAAUGCUUCCCUCCCAGAGUGGAGAGAAAAAGCAAUGUAAUUCCUUUAAGCCUCUAACUCACACCAGCCUGUCUUAUGCCUGUCCCUGAGAAAACAAAUGCAUCAGAGAUCAGAAACUCCGACAUUUGAAAAAACAGGUCGCCAUUGCCCACCACACUUCAGCCGCUGCACCAGAAACACAGACAGCCCUCCCAGAGGGUCAUGGCAUAAUGGGCUAUGGGAGAAUACACUGAAAUGUAAUCAAAAUUUGCCAAAAAAUCUGUUCACUAAAGUAUCUGCUUGAUGCCACAAGUGUUCUGUUGAGCUUCAAGGCACAAGCUAGACUCAAGAGGUCCAACACACAGGUGAUCUUCAGCUCAUGGUGACUUAGCUUAUGACCACGGACUUCAGGUAGAACAGAAGUGAUGGGCUUCAACAUUACACUUCGACAUUACACUUCGAAUGGCUGAAUUUUUUUACUGGUGGUCUAGUAAGGUGAGACAAGAACUUUCUCCUAUCACGAGGCACUGCAGUUGUAACCCCCUGUCGGCUACCUGAUCAGUAACUGACACUCCAUACUGCGUGGCUAAGCUGUGAUGCUCAGUAGGUAAAGUACCUUUAGUGCAUUUUCAACUUACAAUGGCUCUAAGGUCAGCAUGCCAACCCCAUCAUCAGAUGAAAAGCUCUGGACUUAUUUCAGACUAUGAAACAGCAAUCAUUAUUAGACAGAAGGACAGGUUGCUGAAGCUUUCUUGUCUUAAAUUGAAACAUGACUGACUUCAUACAAAAUGUUAAUGCAUUCUUCAACACUCCUAAGUACUAAGUGGAUUGUCCCCAACAGUAUGACUAAAACCCCUGCAGACAUGACUUAACAAAAGCCAAAGCUUCAGUUCAAAGUGACCCCAAAUGUGUAGUCACAGUGCACAUAUGUGUAACCAUAUGUAAGUUAUUAAGGAAUAACUUAAUGCCACAGAUUCUGGGCCAGCAUUUAUUCUGCUUUGUCAGUUAAACAUUGUUGCUUGGCAAUAGUAUACACAGUAAGGUAUCAGCUGCUGGCCACAUGUCUGACACAAUGCUGUGUCUCACUGCUACUGCUCAUGGUCAUAAGACACCCUUCCUCAUGCUGGCAGCCUAGCCCAAAAUUCAGCUUUCAAAGCACAGAGCAUGCUUGCCUUUUUGGAUUUCAUCUGUGUUGAGUUUCCUUAAAUCUCAGAUACAGGCAAAGCAAUGAUUAAAAUACAGGUCUCAAAUACUCUGGAUGGUAAAUAAAACUAAAUAAGUGCUCUAA